CUUGGUCAUUUAGAGUAAGAGACAGCUUGGUCAUUUAGAGGAAGUAAAAGUCGUAACAAGGUUUCCGUAGGUGAACCUGCGGAAGGAUCAUUAAUGAAUUCUGAGUAGGCUCUGCCUCUCACCCUUCAUAUCCAUAAACACCUGUGCACAGUCGGACCCUUGAGUCUUUCGGGACUCCCGGUGUCUUGACGAUCUUAUCAAACAACAAUGUAACCAAUGUAAUCAUUAUUAUAACAUAAUAAAACUUUUAACAACGGAUCUCUUGGCUCUC
rnacentral:misc_RNA from 1 species